UGUUUCGGCUAGGGGGUCAUCCCGACUUACCAACCCGAUGCAAACUGCGAAUACCGAAGAAUGUUAUCACGGGAGACACACGGCGGGUGCUAACGUCCGUCGUGAAGAGGGAAACAACCCAGACCGCCAGCUAAGGUCCCAAAGUCAUGGUUAAGUGGGAAACGAUGUGGGAAGGCACAGACAGCCAGGAUGUUGGCUUAGAAGCAGCCAUCAUUUAAAGAAAGCGUAAUAGCUCACUGGUCGAGUCGGCCUGCGCGGAAGAUGUAACGGGGCUAAACCAUGCACCGAAGCUGCGGCAGCGACACUAUGUGUUGUUGGGUAGGGGAGCGUUCUGUAAGC
rnacentral:rRNA from 1 species